rnacentral:rRNA from 1 species
CCUACGGGUGGCAGCAGUGGGGGAUAUUGCACAAUGGGGGAAACCCUGACGCAGCGACGCCGCGUGGGCGAAGAAGUAUUUCGGUAUGUAAAGCUCUAUCAGCAGGGAAGAAGAAAUGACGGUACCUGCGUAAGAAGCACCGGCUAAAUACGUGCCAGCAGCCGCGGUAAUACGUAGGGUGCAAGCGUUAUCCGGAUUUACUGGGUGUAAAGGGAGCGCAGGCGGGACUGCAAGUCUGAUGUGAAAGCCCGCGGCCCAACCGGGGGACUGCAUUGGAAACUACAGAGCUGGAGAGUCGGAGAGGUAGGCGGAAUUCCUGGUGUAGCGGUGAAAUGCGUAGAUAUUGGGAGGAACACCAGUGGCGAAGGCGGCCUACUGGACGGUGACUGACGCUGAGGCACGAAAGCGUGGGGAGCAAACAGGAUUAGAUACCCGGGUAGUC